rnacentral:rRNA from 1 species
AGACAGAGGUGGCAAGCGUUGUUCGGAUUUACUGGGCGUAAAGGGCGUGUAGGCGGAUAGUCAAGUCAGGCGUGAAAGCCCCGGGCUCAACCUGGGAACUGCGCUUGAUACUGGCAAUCUAGAGUCCGGAAGAGGGUGGUGGAAUUCCCAGUGUAGAGGUGAAAUUCGUAGAUAUUGGGAAGAACACCAGUGGCGAAGGCGGCCACCUGGUCCGGUACUGACGCUGAGGCGCGAAAGCGUGGGGAGCAAACAGGAUUAGAAACCCCGGUAGUCC